AGGUUCAAGAAUAAAUAAUAGAAGGUAGACGUGUAUUUCAUGUUCGUAAAGUGGAUGGUUCAUCAAAGAUCUAUAAUUUUCCAGAGGUAUAUAUUUUUAUUAUUACAAAUCGAGUCACGUGACACGUUUCGGGGAAAUCGAUCUCUUGAAAAAAAACACCCUUGCCUGGUUCUCACUCUUCCAUUGCUGUUUUCUUACGAAGGUUUCUAGCUCGCCUUAUAUUUAAACACCAUGGCAAGUCUAGGAAGUCCCACUUUGGACUGCUUCCGUCAUGGCUCUGUUGUCCAACUCAAGUCCAAAGCUUCAGGAAUGACGCUCACCAUGAGGGAGGGAGGUGUGGUCAGUGGAAAUGGCCCAGUGGGAUUUUAUGUCGGUAGGCUUGGACCCAGGACCCCAGUAUGGGGCAGAUGGACUGAUGGAACCUAUCAUCGCGGGACUAUAACUAAUGUUGACUCCAAAAUCCACAUCAAGUUCAAUGAUGGUGACACAAUAUCACAUGACAUUGCCGACACAACAGCUGUCCUAGCAGAUGUAAAGCCUGACCCUCAAGUCCUCAAGCCAGGGUCACGAGUGAUUGCCCAGUUUCAGAACAGAGCUAAAUAUUAUACUGGUCGGGUUACAGAGGUGGAUAGUCGGGAUGUACUGGCACCAACUUGUCAUAUUCAAUUUGAUGAUGGAGAUAAGGAGUGGGCUGGAGUUCAUCAAAUCAGGAUGUUGCCUGAAGUCAAACCUGCGGACUUGGGGACCCCUCCCAUAGUGGUCAACAGCCGUGUUCUUGGGCGCUUUACCAACAAUCUCUACUACCGCGGAACAGUGACUAAUGUGGGACAGACGAUUGACAUCAAGUUUGACGACGGUGACACCAUCCAGCAUGCACCCAGUGACGUCGGCGCCGUCAUCUAUGACGUCACACCUGCAGUCGGAACAAUACAGGUGGCAUCACGAGUCAUAGGGUACUGGCCCCGAAGCGGCAAGCAUUACUUAGGGAGGGUGGUACAGGUAGACUACAUGAAUCCUCACUACCCCCGCUAUUACGUCAAGUUUGAUGACGGUGACGAGACGUGGUGUAACCUGAACGAGAUUCGGCCUGUGCCUCUCAGCCGAAACCAAGUGGGAUGCGUUGUGUGGGGCCGCUGGACUAACGACUGUUACUACCGCGGGCGCGUGACUGACGUCGGCGACGGCAAGAUCCACGUGACCUUCGAUGACGGCGACAAGGUGUCACAUGAUAUGAGUGACGUCAGUGCCGUACUGGUGGACUUUGCCCCCAACCCCAUGCAUGUGCCUGUCGGUGCACGCGUGAUCGCCUCGUUCCAGGGGCGUCCUAAUUUCUACAAAGGGCGCGUGACGAAAAUUGAUUCCACCAAUCACUAUGCGCCUCGGUACCACGUGACUUAUGACGAUGGGGACAAGGGCUGGGUGAACUGCGACCAAGUUAGGCUUCUGCCCAUGCGCGUGGAUGAAGUUAGUGCUCGUGUCUACGCCAGAUGGACCAAUGGCCUGUUCUAUCCCGGCUCCGUAGAGCGUGUGGAAAGCAAGAUCGAGAUCAAAUUCGACGACGGUGAUCGUAUUGCGCAUGACCCAAGUGACGUCACAGCCAUUAUACUUGAUACCAGUCCCAACCCAGGCUCUGUUGAUCGAGGCUCUCGUGUGAUUGCGGCGUGGCCUGGGAGAAGUAUGUUCUAUCUUGGGACGGUGGACGCGGUAAACAGAGAGCACGUGUACGAGCCUCAGUACCACGUGAUCUACGAUGAUGGUGACAAAGGGUGGGUGACUGUCAAUCAACUGAGGAUUGUCCCCGCCCCAGGACCCGCCCCUGAAGCCCAGUUUAUGGUGACUCAGAUCGGUGGGAAUGUAGUCGCCUUGGCCAGCGUUGCACAUCGGGGCUACUACCUCGGGAUAGAUGGCGCACAAGUCAGAGGGAAGUUCCUUGACAACUACUGUCACUUCUACAUACACGAGUCUCCCGACCAUUACGUUUCUCUGGAGUCAUGCAUGUUGCCGAGGCAACACGUUGGCGUUGACGCAAAUGGAUGCGUGUUGUCACCUGCGAGCUGUUACAAGAGUGAGCCCGCGUUCUUUGAGGCCAAGCUACUGUUCAGUCCGUAUGGUCAGACAUAUGUCCCAGACCACAGAACCACAGGAGGCUACCCAGCACCAACCCCAAGCUAUCCUCAACCCGGGACCUAUCCCCCACCACACCCCUCUUGUGGAUACCCUCAACCCCCUCCUCCACACGGAGGGCACCCUCAUCCUCCCCCACCUACUGGAUAUCCAGGUGGCUACCCUGGCACACACACUGCUCCUCCAGCAGGUGGCUAUCCCACUGGACAGCACCCACCACCACCCCCAGCCGGCUACCCUGGAUAUGGCCCCCCUCCUGCAGGGUACGGCCCAGCUCCGGCAGGGUACGGCCCACCUCCAGCAGGGUAUGGCCCACCUCCAGCAGGGUACGGCCCACCUCCACCUAGCUAUGGUCCACCUCCUCCUUACUAAUGUGUACGUUGGAGCGCUGAUGAGAUGUUGGAGCGCUGAGUAAUGUGCUGUUAAGGGUCCUCUGUCUGGAAAUAGAUUGUUCCGGAUGGCAAUUUUUCGUUGUAUAUCAUAAAAGUAUAUUUACUAAUUUGUACUUCAAACAAAUCGUUGCGUUUGUAAAAUAACUAGAAGAAAUGACUAAGCCUGUCCAACCAUGUUUAAGUUUUGCCUUUGAUUUUUUGUGUCAUACAUAGCCAUUGUAAGGACGGAUAAAGGUCAAAAGAACUUAAGUCGUGAGUCCUUGUAGGUCAUAAUAAGAUCACGUACCAUUGUAUUGUUACGUAUCAUAGAAAGGUCACAUGACCCAGUCAUAAGGUCACGUGUCAUAGAAAUGUCACGUGCCAUUGUAAGUUCACGUGUCAUAGAAAGGUCACGUGCCAUUGUAAGUUCACGCGUCAUAGGAAGGUCAUGUCCCGUAAGAAGAUCACGGGUCACGUGUCAUAGUAAGGUCACGUGACCCAGUCAUAAGGUCACGUGUCAUAGAAGGGUCACGAUCUGACUGCGUUCUGUCAUAAGGUAACAAAAUGUCAAAAUACUUAUGAAUAAAAAUAAUUCAGUUCCCAAAAA